UUUUUGAUCAACAUUUCAUGUAGCAGCUCCUACACGGCCUUCCCAUUUCUCAAUAGCUUUGAUUUGUGGAAAUAAGGGUUAUGCAAUUUCCACACAUUGUGCUCCAAUCACAGCAUGUAGGCAACAAUAAAAAGCAAACAACUAGAUGCACUCAAGGCUGGAGAUUUUGAUAAGCUUUUCUUUUCAUUCCACAAGGGUUUUUAACUUGAUAUUUUUCUGAGGCAACUGAGAUAUUCUUAUUGAGCUUUAAUGGGAUAUACAUGAAUACUGGGAAGCAUCUCAUUUUCUUCAAUGUAUCUAUGGCAGCAGCCCUGGUUAAUCUAGUUGUGAAAAAUUAACCGAAAAGAAAUUAUUGGACUAUGAGAAUUCCACAGUUGACAGAUUGUUGGUCUUUCUCUUAAAAAAAAAAAAAAAAAGAAGAAGAAAAGAAAAAGAAAAAAAGAACUAUGCCAUCUGUUUACAAAAGAUGAGAAAUGUUGAAAAAAAUUAUUUCCCUUAGGGCAUAAUGCUACAGCCAUUUAGAGAGAGGUCUCUGGCAUUUUCAGUGAGGCUUUGGUAGGAGGAACGAGACAGCAUCAGGUCUGCACAGUCGUUGACUGAGAAAAACACAGAUGAUUUCCUCUGGUCCUUAUUUUAGUUUUACUCUUUGAACUUCCAGCAGUUUAUUUAUUAUUGUUGUUGUUAUUUUUAAUUGGGGACAGAUUGUUUUAGGAAUCAUCUUGGUUCCUUUUUUGAAGUUGGGUUUUUUUUGGUUUUUUUGUGUUUUGGUUUUUUUUUUUUUUUGAGACUGGUUUCUAAAGUGCUCCACCUCCACCACCUGUCACUCUACGGAGGGCUACGACUUGAGGGCACUCACCAGUUCUGAGCUCAGCUGCGGACUGGAUGGUGAAGGGCAGCGGCAGAAGGAGGUGGAGGUUCAGAUCUGGAGCCUCUGGACGGACCUGACAGGCUUCUAUAAUUUACCUAAAUUGGAUUAAGCUGAAAUAGAGAGGGAAGGCUUCCCAAAUCAUCUAUUGAAGUCUUCUUCAAAGGGUAAGUCUCAUUUAUUCAGCAUUUUUUAAAAAUGGUAUAGUUACCUAGCAAAGUAUA
rnacentral:lncRNA from 12 species